rnacentral:rRNA from 1 species
GACGAACGCUGGCGGCGUGCUUAACACAUGCCAGUCGAACGGAAAGGCCCUUCGGGGUCCUCGAGUGGCGAACGGGUGAGUAACACGUGGGUGAUCUGCCCUGCACUUUGGGAUAAGCCUGGGAAACUGGGUCUAAUACCGAAUAGGACCGCGCGCUUCAUGGUGUGUGGUGGAAAGCUUUUGCGGUGUGGGAUGGGCCCGCGGCCUAUCAGCUUGUUGGUGGGGUAAUGGCCUACCAAGGCGACGACGGGUAGCCGGCCUGAGAGGGUGACCGGCCACACUGGGACUGAGAUACGGCCCAGACUCCUACGGGAGGCAGCAGUGGGGAAUAUUGCACAAUGGGCGCAAGCCUGAUGCAGCGACGCCGCGUGAGGGAUGACGGCCUUCGGGUUGUAAACCUCUUUCACCAGGGACGAAGCGCAAGUGACGGUACCUGGAGAAGAAGCACCGGCCAACUACGUG